AACGAACGCUGGCGGCAUGCCUAACACAUGCAAGUCGAACGAGACCUUCGGGUCUAGUGGCGCACGGGUGCGUAACGCGUGGGAACCUGCCCUUAGGUUCGGAAUAACUCCCCGAAAGGGGUGCUAAUACCGGAUAAUGUCUUCGGACCAAAGAUUUAUCGCCUUUGGAUGGGCCCGCGUUGGAUUAGCUAGUUGGUAGGGUAAAAGCCUACCAAGGCGACGAUCCAUAGCUGGUCUGAGAGGAUGAUCAGCCACACUGGGACUGAGACACGGCCCAGACUCCUACGGGAGGCAGCAGUGGGGAAUAUGGGACAAUGGGCGAAAGCCUGAUCCAGCAAUGCCGCGUGAGUGAUGAAGGCGUUAGGGUUGUAAAGCUCUUUUACCCGGGAUGAUAAUGACAGUACCGGGAGAAUAAGCUCCGGCUAACUCCGU
rnacentral:rRNA from 1 species